GCAAGUGGUCAGUUUGUGGGCAGCUUAGGGUUUAUUGAUUUCCCUGCUUGACUGACAAAGGCCUGGAGGAGAAAAUGAGAGUUUCUGCUGGGAAUUUCUUUCUUAAUGGUGUAGCCUUGCCAAAUGUGACAUGCCAUUCAUAACACAAACAGGGUUUUACAAUACGGAAUACCAGGGGUUUGUUACUGGAUAGAAAAGGAAGCUCAAUUUUUUUAAGUGAUUUUGGGAGUGGGAGGAAAGAGAAGAAAUAUUUGGAUAUGGAACCUUUUGUAAUAGAGGUCUAUACUUGAAACAGUUGCAUUUUACCAGUGAUUGCUUUUAAUUACUUUGCUCACUUUUUUGGACAAUUUUAUUGACCAAUAAAUAUCUGAGAAGGAAAAGGAAGUCUCUGCAGGAGCUGUGUGCAGAAAAGCAUUCUUCAAGGCAAGAGUGGGAUCAGGCUGAAUUUUGUAGUCCCUGUGAAACUAUUUGCAGUUUUUACAAAAACUUCACAAUUCACACUUGAAGGCAUUGUGGCUGUUGUGA